rnacentral:rRNA from 1 species
UACGUAGGGUCCGAGCGUUGUCCGGAGUUACUGGGCGUAAAGCGCGCGCAGGCGGCGGUGCUGGCCCGGCGUGAAAGCCCCCCGGCUCAACCGGGGGAGGGUCGUCGGGGACCGCACCGCUUGAGGGCGGUAGGGGCUGGUGGAAUGCCUGGUGUAGUGGUGAAAUGCGUAGAGAUCAGGCGGAACACCCGUGGCGAAGGCGGCCAGCUGGGCCGUCCCUGACGCUGAGGCGCGAAGGCCAGGGGAGCGAACGGG